UACGUAGGGGGCGAGCGUUGUCCGGAUUUAUUGGGCGUAAAGAGCUCGUAGGCGGUUUGGUAAGUCGGGUGUGAAAGCCCUCAGCUUAACUGAGGAAGUGCGCCCGAAACUGCCGUGCUUGAGUGCCGGAGAGGGUGGCGGAAUUCCCCAAGUAGAGGUGAAAUUCGUAGAUAUGGGGAGGAACACCGGUGGCGAAGGCGGCCACCUGGACGGUAACUGACGCUGAGACGCGAAAGCGUGGGGAGCAAACAGG
rnacentral:rRNA from 1 species